UACGUAGGGACCAAGCGUUGUCCGGAAUCAUUGGGCGUAAAGCGCGCGUAGGUGGCCACAUAAGUCCGCUGUGAAAGUCAAAGGCUCAACCUUUGAAAGCCGGUGGAUACUGUGUGGCUAGAGUACGGAAGAGGCGAGUGGAAUUCCUGGUGUAGCGGUGGAAUGCGCAGAUAUCAGGAGGAACACCGAUGGCGAAGGCAAUCCCCCUGGACCUGUACUGACGCUCAUGCACGAAAGCUGGGGAGCAA
rnacentral:rRNA from 1 species